rnacentral:lncRNA from 10 species
UCCAGAAUCUCAUAAAUCUAAAAUAAAAGCAUCUGCUCGUUCACCUGCAGACUCCCUCCCCCUCAGCCAGCUUAGAAGUUGGUGGAAGAGGAAGCUGGAUGGAACAACAUGAGCCCUGGUCAGGGCAGACCUAAGCCAGGAGAUGAAGUGCCAGAUUCAGAGAAAAGCUCAGUGGGACCCCAGAUGGACCAGAAUUCCUGCUUUGGGCUGCCGGAACCACAUUUCUUCAGCUAUCUCUGAGUAGUGCACAAGAUGUCAAGACUCCAGAUUCACCAUUCCUCUGCAAACAACUGCUGACUUUCUGUGGAGGCUUGGAUGAACACAGGAAGAUUAUGGAGCAAUACUUGAAGCCCAAACGAAGCUCAGGACCCAGAGACUUCUCAAAACUUGUGUUCAAUGCUCGAACUCUUCUGCAGCCACCUGUUUCUACUGGAGUUUAGCCAGGUAGGAAGGUGGGGCAGAGUAGAGAUUGGGAGCUUCAUUAAAAAGCUCUUUAUUUCAUGUCCCUCUCAAGCUUAAAACCCUUUAGCGACUUCUUUGCCUGCUACAUAAAAUUCAAGUUCUUUAUCUUGGCCUUCCACAGUUUCCAGAGCCAGGCAGCACUCAAAUCCUAAAUUUACCACUUAAUAACCAUGUGACCUUGGGAAAGAUCUUUGAUCACUAUGCCUUGUGUUCUCUUCCAGAAAAUGAGAAAACCAAUGUUGG